rnacentral:lncRNA from 1 species
UACUCAUUUUUUCUGGAAAUUUUGUCUGUCUGUGUAUUUGGAUGCUUGCUUAAGGUUCAUGUAGCAAAGCCGAACUCAUUGUUUAUUAUAUAUGUUAUUCGCGGCAGUACUUUUGAUUCAAGCGAUCAACUGAAAAUUGAGGGAAGGAACUUGUUCAAAAAAGGGGAAAAAAUUGAAACUUGAAAGGAAGUGUUAGUUGACCGCGUAGAUUAAUUUGAAACGGAACUUCUGUGUUUUGUAAUUUUGACAUGAAAGGGGUUUCCAGAAGCUGGUGGAAUUAGGAUGAAAUAAUUGAUUAAAUGAAUUGGAACAUGUGUAGAAAUAAGGUGAUGUUGGAGUUGAUGUUUCUAUUUGGCAGUAUGAGGACCAAGAUGCGAGUCCUACUGAAAAAAUAGAAUGUGACUUGUCUUUGACGUGCUUGCUCUAGAGCUGGCUUGACUUAGGCUAGUGAAAUCGGUUCGACGUCCUCUAACCAAUCCCCUCAAUAUGUUCAAGGACAAGGGCAUCGAGUAGAUAUUCAUACAUAGAUUAUACACUUACUAACUUCGAGUUUAUGUGGUAAAACUGACUUGUGCACUCUUUAAUUUCAAAGCAUUGUGAUGAGAUGGAUGUUCUUCGCUUGUUGAAACAUUCUGCUGCAAUCACAACAAAACCAGCAAUUUGGAAGCUUGAGUAUUUCCACAUGAUUUAUUGGGCGGUUAUCGCCUUUUCUGCUAGAUUUUGAGAUGGUUCCAUGGCAUUGGAGAUAAUUACACAGCAGCACGUUCUGGAUCAGAUUGUGCCAAAAUUGUGCAUAAGACAACUUAGUUAUGCCAUGUUUGCCUAAGCUUGAUAUUGUUUUUUUUUUGAAGCUUGAUAUUGAAUUGUUCUAGAUUUGCUGGUUUAAAUGUGAGGUGCACUUGAGGACAAUUAAGAAGAGGCUAAACCUGUCUGAAACAUGUAAUGAGUAGAUAAAUGGUUAAGAAUUUGAUAAAAUUGUCGAACCAACAAAAAUUGAAGUGCAGUAAUUAAGAUGACCUAAGUGAAAAAGUCAUUGCUGUGUUUGAGCAACUUUCAGUUUCCUUUUAUUUGAUUUACAUUUUAAGUAAAUCUAGAAUAUUUGUACUGCAUUUCUAUGAGGUACCAAGCCAUGAUUUCUUCUUGUGAUAGGCGGCUAGCUCUUUUCUUGGAAAGGCAAGUAUAGUCGGUCUAGAGAAAGCAGUAGAAGUAUUAGAUACACUUGGGAGCAGCAUGACAAACUUGAAUUCCGGGGGGUUUAUGACAGGAACGGCAUCAAGAGGGAAUAAAGUAUCUAUUCUAGCAUUCGAGGUAGCUAAUACAAUCACAAAAGGUGCAAAUUUAUUGCAAUCUCUUUCCAAAGAAAAUGUUCAGUAUUUAAAGAAGGAAAUUCUACCUAGGGUUUAUGACAGGAACGACGUCAAGAGGGAAUAAAGUAUCUAUUCUAGCAUUCGAGGUAGCGAAUACCAUCACCAAAGGUGCAAAUUUAUUGCAAUCUCUUUCCCAAGAAAAUGUUCAGUAUUUAAAGAAGGAAAUUCUACCUUCAAAAGGAGUGCAACAGUUGGUUUCUACUAAUAUGACGGAGCUGCUUACUAUUGCUGCUGCCGACAAAAGGUUAGCAUUUUGAACAUCCACUCCCUACCCCGACACGUACUAAAAGUAAAGUGAAAUGAAACUGGACAAACCGAGGCAUGUGUGGUAUUGUCAUGCAUCAGGGAG